UGAGUCAAAGAGCUGAAACUGACUUCAUGUAAAAUGCAGGUAAUUGCAGAAAAAUUACUUUUGAAUUUAAGAUACCGGUAUAUUCCCUGUAACUGGAUGUUCUAUUUGAUUAGACAUGUCAGCUGCAUUGUAUUUAUUAACGUGUCAUUUUUAUGCUGUUUUUAUCUCUGUGAGGAUGAUUUAAACAGUCAGUACUCCCAGCAGUGAGGAGGAAACAGCCUGAUGUGUUGAGGACAGCUACAGUUGACUGACUCUGUGUGUUUGCAUAUCUGUCCUGCCUCUCUGCUCCCAGCCGUUAAGAGGCCAGUGUUGAUCAGUGGCUGCCCAGGCCUUUCAGAGCCACUGACACGCUGGCAGCACAAUCAUCAUGUCUCUGACUCUACUGCUGGCCACCCUGGGGCUCCUUGUUCAGGGUUCAUCAGGAGACAUCACCCUGACUCAGUCUCCUGGAUCUCUGUCUGUUGUUCUGGGACAGACUGUCUCUAUCAGAUGUGAAGCCAGUUCAAGUGUUGAGUAUAGUGGUUAUAAGUGGCUCCACUGGUACUUUCAUAAACCAGGAGAAGCUCCUAAACUCCUGAUUUAUAGAGCUACAGGUCGUCACUCUGGAGUUUCAGAUCGUUUUAGUGGAAUUGCAUCUAGUGGGACUGACUACACUCUGACCAUCAGUAGAGUUCAGGCUGAAGAUUCAGGAGUUUACUACUGUCAGCAGGGUUACAGCACACCGUUCACACAGUGAUACAACGUCGUACAAAAACCUCCCUCAGCUGCAGAGGAACUGAUCUGACUCAACAGCUGCACUGACACUAAAACAACAGAGUUUUCAUCACAGCAUACU